CUGAGAGGAGCUUGCUUUUCUUAGCUUAGUGGCGAACGGGUGAGUAACGCGUGAGUAACCUGCCCUGGAGUGGGGGACAACAGUUGGAAACGACUGCUAAUACCGCAUAAGCCCACGGCCCGGCAUCGGGCUGAGGGAAAAGGAUUUAUUCGCUUUGAGAUGGCCUCGCGUCCGAUUAGCUAGUUGGUGAGGUAAUGGCCCACCAAGGCGACGAUCAGUAGCCGGCCUGAGAGGGUGAACGGCCACAUUGGGACUGAGACACGGCCCAGACUCC
rnacentral:rRNA from 1 species